AGAGAACAGACUAAGCAGCUUCCUUAGGGCUAUCCUGCUAGUUAAAUGGUCAAAGGUGGGAUUUGAAUCCAGAUCCCCUGACUCCACGUCAAGCACUUUCCCACUAUACCAUACCGCCUUUUAAAAGAAGCUAUAGAACCCCAUUGUCAUUUACUAACCAGUCUUCGGUACUCUCUGAGGACAUCACUAGCUUUGGAUCAAUAGAAAGAGGCAGUCAGUGGAGAGUCCCACCAUCAUUCCAAAGGCAGCUUCUCCAGCAUAGCUAAUGUAAUGAACUAUACCUACCAUUUGCAUCAGAUUUCAGUUAAUAAUAACUAACAUGUAUAUAAUAUUUAGUAUGUGUCAGGCACUUUGUAAUUUUUAUCCCUUGUGAUCCUCACAGUUGCUAUUAUUAUGCUCAUUUUACAAUAAACUGAUGCAAACAGAGGUCAAGUGACUUGCCCUGGGUUACACAGUUAGGAAGUAUUUGCAGCCUCAUUUGAACUCAAGUCUCCCCAGCAUUCUUCCCCCUGCAUCACCUCAUGGUUCUUUACCUAUAAUUUAAAAAAAAAUGACUGAUCUAGUAGAUAUUGAUACUAGGGGAAUGAUGGUAAUGGAGAAAUAUCAGAGAUGUAACACCAGGAAGUAAGCUAGGGAAAAGACUGACUCUUGAGCCCCUCCCCCUACACUACUUCCUGUUUCCUUUCAACAGUCUUAGAAAUAUGCUCCUCACUGAUGAAUAUUUCCCCCAGCUCUGUGAUUCUGCACAAACUACAUCCUAUGCCUGAAAUUUUCUCCCUGGCCUCUUACUCUUGGAAUCUAUAUCUCAAAGCUCGGGGUUCAGAGGUUCACAAACAUGCCAAAGAAAGGAGCUACACCAACUGGAUCCAAGCCAGGGAGGAAGCAGAGGCUGGUUGGUUGGGUGCUGAGGGGAGAUUAAAGGGUCAGGGACAACAAGCAGCUGUUCCUGGGAGAAGAUUGCAUCUGACCCUGGAAUUUCUGAUAAACUACAUAAUAAGCUACUCAGAAUACAGUGAAACAGUAUAUUUUGCCAAAAUAUGAUUGCAAUAUUGAGGGGAAUAAAAAAUAUCUCACCUCAAUCUGGGUUUUCUGA
rnacentral:lncRNA from 1 species